UACAGAGGGUGCAAGCGUUGUUCGGAAUUAUUGGGCGUAAAGCGCGUGUAGGCGGCUUUGCAAGUCGGGUGUGAAAGCCCUCGGCUCAACCGAGGAAGUGCGCCCGAAACUGCAGAGCUUGAGUACCGGAGAGGAUGGCGGAAUUCCCCAAGUAGAGGUGAAAUUCGUAGAUAUGGGGAGGAACACCGGUGGCGAAGGCGGCGACCUGGGUGGAUACUGACGCUGAGGCGCGAAAGCGUGGGGAGCAAACAGG
rnacentral:rRNA from 1 species